UCCGGUUUGGCACCGGCAGUCUUCCUAGAGUCCCCGCCAUUACGCGCUGGUAACUAAGAACAGGGGUUGCGCUCGUUACUGGACUUAACCCAACACCUCACGGCACGAGCUGACGACAGCCAUGCAGCACCUGUGUUACGGCUCCCUUUCGGGCACACCCCCAUCUCUGAGGGCUUCCGUACAUGUCAAGGGUAGGUAAGGUUAUUCGCGUUGCAUCGAAUUAAUCCACGUCAUCCACCGCUUGUGCGGGUCCCCGUCAAUUCCUUUGAGUUUUAAUCUUGCGACCGUACUCCCCAGGCGGUCAACUUCACGCGUUAGCUGCGGUACCAAGGAAUCGCUUCCCCAACACCUAGUGAGCAUCGUUUAGGGCGUGGACUAC
rnacentral:misc_RNA from 1 species